rnacentral:tRNA from 1 species
GCCCAUGUAGCUCAGUCGGUUAGAGCGCGAUCUUGGUAAGAUCGAGGUCCGCAGUUCGAUUCUGCGCGUGGGCU